UCCUGGCCACCUGGUGCUGAACAGAAACAUUGACAGCUCUUGAUGCCCUUGGCCCUUUGAAUAUGCUGCCCACUCAAACUUUUAAUUGGACUGAGCAAAGUGGAGAUCCAUAUUUAUAAGCAGUAGUUUUAGGAAAAUAUGUUUUGUUGAAAAUCAGGAGGGAUGACUUCAUGAAGUGAGGGGAAUCAGAACGGCCAUGAGCAAGACCACCCACAGGCAGGCAGAACAUUAAUAACACUAUUCUUGUUUUAUUGUCUCUUCUGGAUACUGACCUUUCUUAUCUGUCAGUAACAGACUUUAACCAGCUAUAACUGAUCUGUUAAAUAUUGACUUGAUAUAGUAACAAAGAUCCAGAAUUCAUUUAUUCUAGUACGCUCCACUCCUAAAGUGUGGUGCUUGCCUCUGUUCCUGCACACUUUUGCAUAGCAGGCUCCAGGUGGACUCCUCUAAGGGACUCUCUCCUACUAAAGAUUUCCACAGACAAGAUCUGUCCCUUGGCCUGUGUAUCAUUAUCAUGUGUGAAAUACUGGUGACUCCAAAGUAUCAGAAACCAGAGUAAUGAAAAAAUAUCACCUCAAAUAUUCAGUUUUCCUAAAAAAAAAAAAAAAGGAAGAAAAUGAUGACCCCCAAAGUCAAGAUAGUGUUUCCUCCCAGGGGGAGGGAGAGUCUUAAUGAUCAGGGAGAGAGGGAGAGAGAAGGCUUCCAGUAAUGUUCUAUGUCUCAUCUGGGUAGUGGGGUCACAUGGCAUUUGCUUCAUAAUAAUUUUUUAAAGUAGUCAUGUAAUGUUUAUACUCUUUUGUGGAUAUAGGUUUUGUUUAAAUUUUUUUUUAAUGUUUGUUUAUUUUUGACAGAGAGAGAGAGAGAGAAUGACAGAGCAUGAGCAGGGGAGGGGCAGAGAGAAAGACACACACAGAAUCUGAAGCAGGCUCCAGGUUUUGAGCUGUCAGCACAGAGCCUGAUGCAGGGCUCGAACUCACAGACCAUGAGAUCAUGACCUGAGCUAAAGUUGACCUUCAACCGACUAAGCCACCCAGGUGCCCCGUGUGGAUAUAGGUUUUAUCUCACGAUAAGAAAACCCAUCAUUUUAAAGAUGGUGGGACCUGAAGCCAUCGUCUUUGACCUGGAGAUGAAAGCUGCCGGUAGAGGUUGUUGGAGCCAUAAGGAAAUCCAUGCUCUAAGGCCUCAAUUUUGAAGAUGAAUCUGGGAGAAGAAGGCUGGCGUCAGGAUGUCAUUCUUUGGCCACAGAUGAUAAGAACCUCAAUUUCAGGCUUUUGGGAAGGGAGGGAAAAGAAUUUGAUGAGAACAUGGUGCUUAAUGUAAGUGAAGGGGGAAGUGGCAUUCUGGUUGACUCCUUUUUUUUUUUAAUUUUUUUUUAACGUUUAUUUAUUUUUGAGACAGAGAGAGACAGAGCAUGAACGGGGGAGGGUCAGAGAGAGAGGGAGACACAGAAUCUGAAACAGGCUCCAGGCUCUGAGCUGUCAGCACAGAGACCGACGCGGGGCUCGAACUCACGGACCGCGAGAUCAUGACCUGAGCCGAAGUCGGCCGCUUAACCGACUGAGCCACCCAGGUGCCCCUCUGGUUGACUCCUUUAUAGGGUAUCUCCCGAUUUGGGGGAGCUGGAGCUUAUAUAAUUUUAGCUGCCAUCUUUGAGAAAAAGAAUGAAAUGCAAUGAGUAAAAACUUAAGUUCAGGGCUCUGAAAGGUGUCCUUGGAAGUGAGGGGGCCCUUCUCACAUGCGCUGAAAAGAACACGUGCAGUGGGCAUCAUGUUUAUGUGGUCUGCCAACAUCACUUUUCUUUGGUUUGCCUUUGGGUUUGUGCACCUUCCCUCCCUCAGCUCCUCUUUUUGGGAGAGCGGGCCGUUGCCUCCUCACGUCCCACGCCAUUUCAGACACCCCUUCUAGACCGAUCAUCAGAGCUUUUCUUCCUGUGGCCAAGUGAUUGUGGUGAAGAUGGGUAGGUGACCCAAACCAGGCCAACAAGACUCAGUUCUAGGACUUUUUGUUGGAACUUUUG